AUCGUAAUUCCCGUAAUAAGCGCACCCUCGCCUUUAGUUGCCAUCACGUCUGGGUGGGCACUCUAAAGGAACUGCCGGUGACAAGCCGGAGGAAGGUGGGGAUGACGUCAAGUCCUCAUGGCCCUUAUGUCCUGGGCUACACACGUGCUACAAUGGCGGUGACAGUGGGAAGCCAGGUGGUGACACCGAGCCGAUCUCAAAAAGCCGUCUCAGUUCGGAUUGCACUCUGCAACUCGAGUGCAUGAAGGUGGAAUCGCUAGUAAUCGCGGAUCAGCAUGCCGCGGUGAAUACGUUCCCGGGAA
rnacentral:rRNA from 1 species